GCUCUCUCCUGAGCCGGGUGACCCCACAGCGGUGCCCCUGACCCGAGAGACAGGAGGGAACGCGGGCCAGCGGAGUCCCAGGCCUCUGGUGCUCAGGGGUCCUGGAGUCACAGUUCGCUCCGGGUUGGAGAGCCCAAGGGACCGCCCCUUAGGGGACCGUGCGCGCUCUGGGAAGCAACCGGCCUAGCUGCUCUCUUUCCAGCACGCACAUUUCCAACCCAGCCCCCUCCACGCCCUUAGAAGUUGCUGAAGUUCAAACUCAGAGCCCUGUUUCUGCUAUGCAAAUGCUCUGCUCCUAAGCUCCACCUAAGCCCAAGAUGCACACAUAUUCUCGUGUGAAGAUGUCCAGCAUACUGUUCAGUGGGAAGAAAAGUACAGAACACUGUUUGGAGAGGAAAUACAUCACACUGAUUUUGGAAGCUGUCUCUGGCAAAGGAGUCUCAGGUUGACAUGUUGGAGGAGUCACCGUGAGAUGCUGAGGUGUGGCUCAGUGGUUGGUGGAAAGCUUCCUCAGCACACGAAGACCCGUGGUUAAGUCCAUGCACUGAAAAGAAAUUAAUGUACUUAUGUGUAAUUCUGCAGUUCUGUUAACUUGUUUUAUAAGACAGGGUCUCACAGCUCAGACUGCCUUUGGAAGCUGGUGAGGUGGCUGAUGCUGGCCUCCACUUCCCGGAUGCUGGGUGGGAUUACAGCAGUGGGCCAUCAGGCCCAGCCAAACUGUAAUAAAAAAAAAAAAACUGGGGAGGGAUAGAGUGUAGGGUUGGGCCUAAAACAUGAGUGUCCAAUAGAAUUUUUUUUCUAGAUGUUUUUUUCUGUGUAUCCCUGGCUGUCCUAGAACUAGCUCUCUGGGCAGCCUUGGACUCACAGAGAUCCACCUGCCUCUGCCUCCCAAGUGCAGGGAUCAAAGGCGUGCGCCACCACUGCUCAGCAAAUUCUGUGCAACGGUAGAAAGGUCCUACAGCUGUGCUAUCCCAUUGUUAGCCAGUCGACACACAUGGCUUCUGAGCACUUGGAUCAUAGCUAGUGUCUCCAAAGAAUCGAAUUUUACUCUUUUCUCUAGUUGAGGGUGGGGCACCUUGUGUUACCAAGUCUAUCCUUAAACUCCUGGAUGCAAACAAGUUUCUGCUUCAGCUGUUUUCUCCUCGAGGGGAUGGUACCCAGGCCUUUCACAUACUAAACAUGCACUCUACCAGUGAGCUGUACCCCUGCCCAGAUUCACCCUUCCAAAUGCUGGAAUGAGUUCCCUCUGGAGGACUCCAGGGAGGGGGAGGCUCCUCUGAAGGCUGCCUUGUUUCUCCAGUUUCUCUCAGCCCUGGAUAUUACCCCAGCAUUCCUGAAAGGGAGCUGAGUAGUGUAUCUGAUUUAACUGCUAUGCCUUUAAGAUCCCAGGCAACUCCGGGUGGAAAAACUGGUCAGAGUUAGGAGAGUGGGGGGUUACCCUCAUUAGAGGAGGCUGAUUUCCAGGAAGAACAGCAGAGGAAGGGCACCAGAGAGGAAAUGCAGGGCAGGCUACAGAGCACAAAGCUGUUUCCAAGUGCAGGGACCUGCUCAGGGCAGAACCUAUGGUUAGUACCACAGACAGGCAGGAGGUGGCCAGGAGCUACCAUAGCACCUCCAGCUUCCAGUCUGUGUAUGUCAGCGAGCCUUCUGCCUGGUGACUGAACGUGAUACUCGUGAUACUCGCUGGCCCUUUCACUGAGCGCAUUUUCUGGGAACACCCACCUCCUGCCAGAUACCCCCUAGGUGUUCAGCCCUUAACAAAGCAGAUAAAAAUCUCUAACUUCCUGAAAAUCUCCAGUAAAAUCAAAUAAUACAUGAUUACGGGCUGGGGUAAACAUUUUAAAUGGGUGAGAGGAAGAGAGUGCAGGGCUGGGAGUGAAACUCAGUAGUGGUAGAAAGUAUGCUUAGCACAAGCAGUGUCUAGGGCCGUGUGCUAAUAAUAGAUGGAGCAUAAUUUCCAUUAGGAAAGUGUGAGAAAAGACUCUAGAAGUACACUCCUCUCUUCCCCCCAAAGACCCAAAUACAAAAUGACAGCCAGGUGAAGGGAAGUUGUACCUAAGAGCAUUCCAGAAGGACUGGUGACUGAUGGGGAAACGGACCCUGAAAUGGGACCUUGACCUUCGGGAAGGAAUGUAGCAUUAGUGGGGCAUGGUGACUGAGAGUGAGGAAGGCCACAACAUCCACAUACUGCCAGGCUUCAUGAGUUUCUUCCUAGGGGAGGGGGCCUGGGAGCAGCCUAGAGGAGGAGUGAGCUGACUGGUCUUGGAUGCUGGAUGAGGAAGGGACUAAGGAAUCAGCAGACAGUAGCUUCGUGUGGUCCACAGGCUAAAGAAUGCUUUUUAACACUUUUCAAGGAUGCCUGAAAAAUAAAACAAACAAAAAUCCACAUGAAAUUAAAAUUUUAGUGUUCAUAAAUAAAGUAAGCCUUGCCCACUUACACACUAAGUGUCUCUUGUCAUUUUCUCACUACAUUGGCCAAAGGUGGAGCAGAGACUGUGUGGUCUUCAGAGCUUAAAAUAUUAACUACUUGGCUCUUUUGACAAUAAAACUAAGUGACCUGAGGAUUAGAGAGAGACUAAAAGUAGGAAGCCUAAACAGGAGGUUGCAACAGACACCAGGAUGAGAGGACAGUGACAUCCUCCAUCUCCAUGGUAGUGGAGCUGAGAUGUGGAUGGGCUGAAGAAGCAAUUUAAGGAGAGAGCUUCCAGAACUUGCUAAUGGCAUGUGGGAGACUGAGGCAGGGGGAUCAUCGUGAGUUGGAGGCCAGCCUGGGCUAUACAGAGUGAGACCCUGUCACAAAAGAAAAAAAAAAAAAAGAAGAAGCAAAUAAAGCUAGCAGUGGUGACUGGUGCCUGCACUACCAAACUUUGUGAGGCAGAAAAAGGAAACCUUUCCAUACAAGUUUGAGGCUAGCCUCUUCAACAGAGCCACGAGACCCUAUCUGACUGGGGAAGGUGCCAAAAGAGAGAGGGAAGAGGAAAAGAAAAAAAGGGAAAGAAGAAUUGAGGAUGGAUUGAAGAGAUGAGAUAUAUUUCUUUUUUUUUUUUCUUUUUUUGGUUUUUUGAGACAGGGUUUCUCUGUAUAGCCCUGGCUGUCCUGGAACUCACUUUGUAGACCAGGGCUGGCCUCGAACUCAGAAAUCUGCCUGCCUCUGCCUUCCGAGUGCUGGGAUUAAAGGCGUGUGCCACCAUGCCCAGCUGAUAUACAUUUCAAAAUGACCCAGAACUUGUGGUCCUGGAGUAGGACCUUGGUAACACUUGGGGACAUGGGAUAAGGUUUGUGGCUUAGCUAGUAUUGUUUUAGUGUUAACUUCUGCAUCCUUGACCACACAGUGAUUUUGAGGCCAGCAUGGACUACAGUGAGACCCUGAACCAAAUCUAUAACCACAGUGGGCUGGUAAGCUGAAAAGAUGUCUAGUAGUUAAAAGCUCUUUACAGCUCUCACAAAGGAUGGGAGUUUGGUUUCCAGCAACUCUGUUGGGCAGCUUUUCUGUAACUUCAGCUCCUGGGGAUCUGAUGCCCUCAUCUGGCCUCUGAGGUCACUUUAUUCGCAUGUACAUACCUACAUGUAUAUUUUAAAAAUAAUAAAAUAAAUCU
ensembl:lincRNA Gm17281 predicted gene, 17281